UCCCCCUCCCCCUUCUCUUUUGAUCAGGUGAGGCCCCCUGGUGUCUCUCUCUCUCUCUCUCUCUCUCUCACACACACACACACACACACACACACACACACACGCGCGCGCACACGCACGCACGCAUGUACACACACGCACACACAUGCACACACAUGCAUACACACACACACACACACACACACACACACACACACGCACAUACACACUCAGGUCUCUGCAGGGCUAGGUGCUUCCUCUCCCACUGAGGCCAAAGCAAGCAGCCCAGCUAGAAGAACAUAUCCUGCAUACAUACAACAGUUUUCAGAAUAGCUCCUGCUCGAAUUGUUCAGGACCUACAUGAUGACCAAGCUGCACAUCUGUUGCAUAAUGUAGGGGAAAGCCUAGGUCCACCUGGUGUAUGUUCUUUGGUUAGUGGUUCAGCCUCUGAGAGCCCCAAGGGUCCAGGUUAGCUGAUUUUAUUGGUAUUCCUGCUGAGUUCCUACCCCCUUAGGGACUGCAAUCUAGAUAAGAACGUUGUAUCUAGGGAGGUAGAGGGGUGUCAUUCACACUACCUCUGAGUUCAGUCAGUAGAGCCACAUCCUCAGGGCUUCCUGGUCCAGGGGGAGUGGGGCUGAACUGAUUUAGUGUUAAGGCCUCGGCUUCAGCCGAGUCUCAGUCUGCUCUGGCAAUGAGGCGCUCAGCUCUGACCUAGCGAUAUAACCCUGUGGUUCACUUGGCCAAGAGUGCUACCAUUAUCCCAUAACACGCGGGAGUUAAGGACAUGGCAGGGCAGGAUGACCUGGGCUCUAGACCUAUGUCCCCAAACUGCAAUCAGGAAUGUAUUAGAUACUGGCUUCUCUACCUUGCGUGGCAUCCCAGGGCAACAAGAUGUAAGCAUGGCCGGUCUCUCUAGUUCACCCGUGUCGCCAUCUUUCUUGUCUGUGUCUGUUGUCUUCUCUGUCUCUAUAACUCCGCCUCUCUUGAUUUCUGUCAGUGUGCCUCUGUCUCUCCAUCUGUGUCUGUGCCUUUUAGGCCUCUUUCUAUCUCUGGCUCAAGCACACAAGAAGAGAUGGGGUACAGCCCUGUAGCCACAUGGUACCCUGGUCCCAAUUGAGGUGACAGAGCCCAGAAAAGGGGGUCUUAAGAGGUACCAGGGAAGUCAGCUACAGUGGGAAACCUAGCUCCAUCACGAAGUCCCUGGGGAGCCCAUACUGGUCCAUAGGACCUCAGAGAGAGGAUGAGAGCCCCAGACUAAUGCUAUGGUUUUCUAGCCAGGGCAGGUAUACAGGAGCCAGGCCAAACUUAGGGUCAGGCAGUGGCCUCCAGAAAUGAAAAUAAAAUGCCCAAAAGGAAGGCGUCCUCUGGGGUGUCACGGGAAGUGUAUUACAGGGUCUCCAGGAUUCCUCUGCAGUUCUAACUUGGGUAUGGCAGAUGGAUGAGGCAUGGCCUAGGACAAGGUGUCCCAGACAUGUGCACAGGUCAGCACCCUCAUAUACAUUCACUCUCACACAUCUCGUACAUCACAGCUAUGUGUGAAAUCCUCACACCAAUGCCUCGACUGUGGCAGAAGGCCACAAGUACACACUUGCCGGCUCCACACUGCUUACAUGUGUCUAUACACAGCAACACCCAUGCUUUCACAUACGGUUAGACAAAGGGAUGCUAACACAGCCUUUCUCUCACACAUGGGGAAGGGAUUGCUCCUGAGCCCAGAACUGGAUGGAGUUGGACAGGGUGCCUCACCCCUGGGUCUGUGCAGUUGGACUCUGCCUCCAAGGAUGGCUCCAGUACCUCCCAUCGCAUACUCCUCUGGGCUCCAACUCCAUGCAGCCCUACUCAGAGCUCUUGCUCCUUCCUUUCUCAAGAGAGAGUAUGGAAGACAGCAGGGCCUCUGCUGCUCUAUGGUGGCUGGCCUCUGAGGACCAACAUUCCCUGCUGUGGUAGUCACCCACUCAAGGAGCUGACCUCUGAUCUCAGGGACCCAAAAGGCAGUAGAUAGGGCAUACCUGGAGUGCCUGGAGACUGGAUCUGGCCAAAAUUUGCAUCUGGAAACAGGAGAGCCACCUCCUGAAACUUGCCUAAGCACAGAUGCUCCCCAUCUGGUGUGUGAUGCCCCAGGGCCUUACUCUUUACCAUUGGAGAUCUUAGGCCACCUGCCCCUUCUUUGACCAGGUCUUUGUAUGGAAGGAACCCUCUUGUUAGAGCCUCUGGUUUCCUGGCCCUUGGAAACUGUACCUUCCAGACCCCAGGGACUCUUCACUGAGGUACUGAUGCUGACAGGGUCCACCAGACAGGACCUCUAGCUACCAGGCUUUUUCCUACUUGAGCCUUCAUGUAAUUUUAAGGGUAGCAGGGUCAGCACUGGUCAGCAUACCAUAAAGUUUUCAGCCACAAAUAGACCACCUACUUCCCUUACUACUCCUAGGUUGCUCAGUCAAUGUCUGGGAGCCCUGAAGAUGUGCCAAUGCCCUCCUCAUCCCCAACUGCUUUUUCUUUUCCCAUUGUGCUCCCUACUGAGCCAAGCAGGCUCUGGGGUCCUCCAAGUGACCCAGGAGUCAGAGAGACCCUUCUCAGCCCUCAUUCUGACCCAUGACUGUCCCCAGCACCCAAUGAGGAACAAAAGUAGGCAGCAAGGUGACUAUUUUGUUUAUAAAGAGUAAAGAGCGAAACCCCCUAACACUACCCCACCACAUUCCACCACCCAUUUGCCACUCUCCCCUCCCUGAUCCAAGAACCAUGAAGGUGGGAACACAGGUGUAGAGGUAAGAGCACACCAUCUAUGCAAAAUACGAGGCCAGGGGGGAGAUAAGGGAUGAGGUGAUAAUGAAGGGAGAGGUGCUGACUGUGGCAAGGGGGAGACACUGGACAGCAGCCAUGACUCAACUCAUUGCUAUUGUUGCCUCUGGGAAUGAAGCACAUGUCCUGCUUGCCCUUGGAUGCAGAACAGAAACACACCCCUCUCCUGCUCCUACACCCUGCUUGGGCUGUAGUAACUCACUCGUGUCUUAGUUCUGGGGCAGGGUUUCCAUGAUCAAGGGGCUACUUUCUGUCAUGGACUCUUGUAUCCACAGAGAAGGCACUGCCUGCCAUGUUCUCUGACAAGGGCAGUAAUUCUAUGGGACCAUGGACCCACCCAUAACCUUCACCUAAUCUCCAAGGCUCCCUCAGUGAUGUCCUCAAGCCUGCUUCCCUUCUGCAGCCUUUAACACCCCACACUGUUCCCAUAGAGCAGGUGAAGAAAGCCGGGGCUCACGUGGUUGGAGAAAGAGUCUCAAGUCCAGGCUCUCUGCAUCCUGCCCCAGAGUAUGCCUACAGUCUCUCUCCCCGCCUCUGGCAUAAGCGGUUCCCUCUUUUUAGUCAAGUUGGAUGUUCAUGCACACAUGCUGCACCCCAGCAGAGUCUGGGGAGCACACAAAUGCAAUACAAAUGUGGGUUCCCCAAGAUUGGUGCUCCAGAGAGAUAAAAAUGAAGCAUCUGAAUGAGUAAGACAGUCCAAUGGCCUUGAGUGUUUCGUGUUCAGAGCAGAGCGCUCCUGGAAGCAUCUUAGUGAUACACCCCUCAGUAGCUGCAGAGUCUAUGGACCAGACCCCAAAUAUCAUAGCUGACAAGAAUGCUAUGGCCUCACUUAAUAAAAAGUGAGAGUGAGUGGCUAAAGGACUGAAUAGAUCAGACACCGGUGCCUAAAUAAAUCCCAUAGAUACCUGCAAACAUAUGAGAACUGGUGGGGAAAGGAAAAUAGGGAGGAUGGCUGGAUAGGUGAUGGAUGAUGGAUUAUGAAUCAAUGGUUGAUAGAUGGGUGGGUGGAUGGAAGGUUGGGAUGGAUGGAUGGUGGAUAGAUGGAUGGGUGGAUGGAUGAUAGAUUAUGAAUGGAGGGUUGAUGGAUGGAUGGUAGAUGGAUGGGUGGGUGGAUGAUUGGUGGAUGGAUCGAUGAUGGGUGAUGAAUGCAUGGUGGAUGGGUAAAAGGUUGGGAUGGAUGGAUCACUGAGAUGAAUGAACAGGAGGAGGAUAAAUGUUUGGGGAUAGAAGGAUGAGUAGGUAGGUGAAGUGGAAACUUCUAGUUUCUUUGGAAAGUUAAUUAUGUCAAAUGGUGUUUUGCUGGGGCACACAGGUGAAGGGAUAUCUUGCUGAAGUAGACACAGGAAAGACUGUUAUCCUGAAGCAGACACCGGUGAAAGGAUGUUUUGAUAUAGCGAACACGUGAAAGGACCUGUGAUGAAGGAUUGUAAAUAUGACCCCAAAGACAGUAGGAGACAAGCACCGAGCAUGGGUUUGGCUUGCUCUGCCUCCCUGUUCUUCACUAUUGACACGCAUGUAUUGGUUUGCCUUACAUAGUGUUGUUGAGCCCAACUUGUGGUAAUGCUACCAUUGAGAGAAACUUGCCCGAAAACUGCUUGGGAGUUCCUGCAGCGGCUUGCCACUUCAGAGACCUUGCCUCAGGCCCACAAGCAUUCGUGCCUAGUGUCUGUGUGCUGCUGAGUUGUAUCUGGUGUUUGCUACGGGACUGAACUGCUGCCAAAAAAAGACCAAGCUUGCACCCAAAGAACUAUUGCUGAACAGAUGCUGGGAGUCCUCUACUUGUCCAUGUCCCCAACUCCUGGGCCUGGCUGAACAGUUGUCAUUCUAGGAAAUUUCCCUGGAAUGGAAGACUCUCUUACCCCUGCUGCUGGUCACUUUGAGAUUAGUCCCGUAGCAAACACAAGAUGCAAUUCAGUAGCCGCAGACCGGUCCUUCAGGCAAUCAGACCACAGGCAUGAACCAACGGCUACAGUUCAGUUCUUUCGGCAAGCAGACACCAGACAGCUGUAGUUCAAUCUUGAAGAAACCCCCAGGCUCACCAGCUGGCCGAAGGCAAGGCCGCAGAAGCUGCCACAGGAACCUCACAAGCAGUUCUUGAGUAAGUUGCUCUCAACAUCAGAGUUAUCACAAGCUGAGCUCAACAACAACGCUCUGGAAGGCCAACCAGGGGAAUAGUGAGGUAGAGCGAACCAAACCAGCGCUCAGCACUCAUCUCCCACUGUUUGGUGGGUCAUAUUUAUACUCCUUCCUCCCAGGCCCGUCCACGUGCUUGCUUUAGCAACACAUCCUUUCACCUGUGCCUGCUUCAGGAAAACAUUCUUUCACGUAAUUGCUUUAGCAAGAUAUCCUUUCACCUGUGCGCCACGGCAAAACACCAUUGACAUAACUUCCCAAAGAAACCAGAAGUCUCCACUUCAUUUCACCCCUUCCCAAGACCACACUGACUAGGUCAAGCCUAUGAUUGGAGUCCAGGCCUACCUCUCAGUGUCCCCAGGUAACGAGGAAGACCCUGUGCCUCCAUUCUAUCUCAUCUCUAAGACCUCAGGUCAGAGUUGGCAUGGGAUGGGGGUGAGGUUCCAAGUGACAAAACAUCCCCAGGACCAAAAGAUUACAGGCAGGGGGCGGGACACUGAACUCGGCCCCAGAUGGAGUCUUCUACAACCCUUAGCAUCUAGAGACCUGCCUGGACAGCUGACAUCAGCAGUUCUCCUGGGGAGCAGUUGCUACCGCUGAAGCUAAGAGGCUACAUUCUGCUCCCCAGUUUCUGCAAGCAUACCGUAUCCACCUAGCCCACCCCUUUCCAGCAGCAGCCUUCGACGUCAGCUGCUGGGACACCUUGCUGUGGGAACUUUCCACAUUUGCUGUCCACCCAGCUCCAAGGACCCCACCAACAUCCACAUGUUGAAAGCAGCAGAAUUUACUGCUCCCCUUUAGCCAGUAGGAUGCGGAGAAACAAUGACAUCAUCUCUGAGUUUAGGAAUAUAAAAGGACUGUAGCUGUCCCCUACUUUCAUUCACAGCCCAGCACUGCGGCCAGCCCUGCCCACAUGGGCUGAUCUGGGAGGAAAAUUUCUGGUUCAUCUGUCUUCUCAGGCCCACUGCUCUGCAUUUGCCCAGAGCCCAAAAGCAAUUUGUCACAUCCAGGCCCUCAAGAGCUGCCAGGUACUAAGUUUGCCUGAGGGACCUCCACAUGGGUUGGGCCAGCCUAUGUACCUAUCGGAGUAGCCACCCACUCACAGGGCCACCCAAUAUUCUGCUCCACCUGACCUAUGACUUCGGUGCACGGCUGAGAGCUCAAAAAUUCCCAGGACUGCAGGAUGAGGCACAGGCACCUGCAAACCUGGUGCUAGGACCAGGGUGCAUAUCCAAGAGGCUUCAUGAAGGCACCCCUUGUUAGGUGCAGCUCCAGUGCUUCCCCCAAGGACUCAUUCUAAACAAACUCAGCCUGUAGGGUGGCCAUGGAGUACCCUGUUCCCUGCCCACUCCCGGGGCUACUUCUCCAGUCCAGCCAUGCUCCAGGCAGGUCAGGUGAAUGGGCGUGAGUAGACAGCUCCCUAGCUUGGGACACACACGCCUCAUAUUUUCUGUACCUAGAAAUGACCGAUGUUGUCCAUCUUUGGCGAGCAGGCCACUGGGGAGGAAGGCCCAGCUAAGCAAGGGCAGUUUGUGGCCCAGCAGCUGGUCUGGCCCCUGCACCUGUCUCUGUUUGCACAAAUCCUGUCUCUAAUAGACUUAAUCAUGGAGCUUUGAUGCCUGUGCCAGGGCCCUACAAGUCCUUGGGCCUCCCAACAAACAGGCCAUUGUCUGUGACCCAGUGGUAGGCCUGCCUGUUAAUGGUUAAACCGGGGAAGACAGCCCUCUCUGAGGCCAGGACGAGGAGCCAGAAAAGGCCUAGGCAUAGCAGCACCCAUCUCUCAGAGUGUUGCUGUCCUGUGCUGGGACUCCCAUGGAUAGUCGCAUGGACAUAGGACUUUUCUGUGUUCUAAAAACAGGGGAUACUGAUCCCUGCCUGGUACCCCUGUGCCCCAAAGCAGGUUGCUAGCCUGUAUGGACCUGGGGCAGUGGAAGAUGCUCUAACCUUAGAGACCCAGCUACUUGCUGUGCUACCCUAACCCGAAGGACAGCAGCAGAGGUAGCUUUGUGGUUUAGAGCUGCUCUUCCAGAGGAACUGCAUUUCUUGCACCUACAUGGCAGCUCAUGGCAACUACAGUUCCAGGAUAUCUGGCACCCUCUUCCAGUCUCCACGGGAAGUAGGCAUGCCUGUGGUGUGCAUGUAACAGGAUCAUUCUGGAUGUGCAGUCACAGGAAGAGAAAACAGGGACUCAGAGAGGCCGCUACACCUGCUGCACUGCUCAAAACAGCGUUAUAUGGAAGAGAAAAGCUCCCGAAUAAUGGGGGUCAGAACCACAUCAUGAAAUAUUACUUGGCUCAGCAAAAGAAAGCGUUCCGUGAGCCGUGGUGGUGACUGAGUCAGGAGAGUUGCCACAGCUUUGAGGCCCAGCCUGGGCUACAUAGUGAGACUAUUACUCAAAAAUCAAAAACACAGAAAGACUAAAGCUAUGACGUAUACUACAAUGGGGCUGAGCCUCUGAUUUGUGGCUAGGUGAAAACAGACAGAUACAAAAGGCCGCACACUGUCAAUGGCACUUAAUGCCCCAGAGGCAAGUCCCCAGAGGCAAGAAAAAGAACAGGAAUCACCAGGAGGCUGAAGGGCAGGUGGAUCCUUCUGGGAUAAGGAUGUUCUGGAAGCAGAUAGCUAUGCUCCCUAUAUACACUAACUGCCUGCCAUGGGUCAUGCACUUUUAAAAAGAGCCAAUCUUAUGUGGUAAGAAUUGCCCUUACUGUCAAACACCAAUGACCCACUUAGAUAGAUGGGGACGCUGUGGGUAGAGACUGUGGCACAGAUCCCAAAUUGUGCCUGUCUGUGACUUUGGCUGUAACUGGCUGCCUACCUCAGUCAAGAGUUCCUGAACACUGGCUGCUUUGCUUACCAAUGGCCUCUAGGGUACACACACACACACACACACACACACACACACAGAGAGAGAGAGAGAGACAGAGAGAGAGACAGAGAGAGAGACAGAGAGAGAGACAGAGACACACACACACACACAGAGAGAGAGAGAGAGAGAGAGAGAGAGAGGGGGGGGGGAUUAGAGAAGAUUCCCACAUGUUGGCUUCCUAGGUCAAGCAAUGACAUUGAGGGUCCACACACACUAGCUGGCUAGUCCGACAAUAGAAUAUUAAGGGUCCCUAUUUUUCCUGAAGCUCAACAGUAGCACCUUAGGUGCCACACAUGAACCAAGCCACUCUCCUUCACCCUAACAUUCUGAGAUCAUGAAGUUACCCCUGCAUCCCUGCCACUUCGUCAUGGUGCCAAGCAACCAACCAUCCAUCCAAUAUUUCUAGAGUGGCCCCUGCCAAGGCCUGGUGACUGGCCCAACCAUUGCAACCAUUUCACAAUGGAUCUCCACACCCCCACCCCUUUCUUCUCUCCUCCAACUUUCCCUUCCUGGGUCCCUGAGAAGAUGCAGCCUCAUCUACUACACAGAGCUCCUGACCAGAACUUCUUAUGAUGGGCCCAGCUGUGCUCCCUCUGAAUCCCCAGGGCCCUGACCCCAAAGGCUAGUUCCCCAAUUGUGGACCCUACUUGAUCUUCCCCUACUGGAUAUCCAGAGCUUGGGGCGACACUGUGGAUUUCCAACAGGUCCCCCCACUACCCCUGUAGGCUUGCCGCCAGCUGCUCCCUGGAGAUAUGGUCCAAAUUCACCAUGAAGAGAGCCAUGAGCAUGGGCUUUGGACUUCUUCCAUCCUCCUAUAAGUUCAAGUCCAAGUGACUGCAGCAAACACUCAUGUCCAUGUACACCUCCUCCAUACUUCGGGACCCUAUCAGCCUUGAGUAAAGACAGAAAAAUCUAGCUAGGCCUAUCUUCUGGAUUUGAAGGGUUAUAUCCAAGUCCAGCCCCACUGUCUCAGAAGAGUCUAGCACUGAUCAGCCACAGGAUUUUUGCACAGGUUACACCCCAGUCUGAGUUAGUCCUAUCUGACCCUUGCUUACAUAGCUCCUCCCUCACCACUCCUUAGGAAAGCCUUCUUCAGAUGUCCCAGCCAGACUGCAAUGUACUUCACACCAAUCCUUCACACUCAAAUGUCACACACCACUCCACAACAGGCAGAAAGGGGCUGGGGCCUUAGAUUAGUUUGAGGCUAUAGGCUCUGUAUCGGAUGCCCUCUUGGGUCACAAGCCACCUAGGGACCCUACUCACCCCUGGCCCACGUCUGGGUCUCAGCCACAUAACAAGUACCCAGCAAAUAUCAG